CUCCCCUUUGUUCUCUAACUCUCGAUUCUCUCUGUAAACAUUCUCAUUUUCCCUUUCCUGCGCUAAGAAGGAAACCACCAUCACCUACACCAUUUUUGUCCAAAUCAAACCCCAAAAAUCUGAACCUUGAACCUUUGGGACAUGGGAAAUCCACUUACAGCCUUGCAUGUGUCAUCAGAGCACCUCCGUGUGCUCUGCCAUUAAUGUCGAGAGCUUGAGCUCUCUCAAACUUCAUCUCAGGAGGUAACAAAAGUAAGGAGAACACUGGUGGUGACGAGUGAGCUUGGAAGUGAAGCUUUCAUCCUCUGGAUAUUGGGUGAUGAUUCAUUUACUGCAGUUUUAUCUUAUUGUAAUAAUGGCAUGAUCAUAGUUUUGAUUAUGCAUAGCAUUGCACUUUUAUGUGUUUACUAUUAAGUGAAACUUCUAGCUGCUUUGACAUGAUGUGAUAAUAACGGGUUUAAACCCGAGAUAAUUUGUGUCCCCAAAUGGGGAGGAUAAUAAGUGAUUUCUUAUAGUAGCUUUGGAUUUAUUAUUAAUGAACGUUUUUGGUUCAAAUUCCUUCA